rnacentral:miRNA from 1 species
AGGCUGGCAUGGGCCGAGGGCAGGAGGCCUGUGGGCCGGUCCCAGGCCUCCUGCUUCCUGGGCUCAGGCUCAGUUU